rnacentral:lncRNA from 1 species
AUCAGUCUCAGAUAAACCUCAUGGGGGGAGGCGGUGGACCCCAUCUCAAUUUCAACCCCCAUGGCCAUGACCUCCAUGCAUACAGUGCAUUCAUGAAGAAGGAGCACAACAAUGAUCAUGAUCAGCAAAUUGGUAGCUUCAGUUCCACCUCCAGUCUCUUACCACCUUGGCUUGCUUCAGGCCCACCUCCCACUGCUCCCUCUAUCUUCUCUGGAAAUCAGGAUCAUCAUCAUGAUUUCCAGCAGAACCUGGAGUUGGGUCCAAACCCUAACCCUAGCUUGGGCCCCACUCUCCCUCAAUUCCAGGUGCCUGCUGCCGCUGCAGCGUUAUCAU